ACUAGAUGGCGACCGGCGCACGGGUGAGUAACACGUAUCCAACCUGCCGAUAACUCGGGGAUAGCCUUUCGAAAGAAAGAUUAAUAUCCGAUAGUAUAUUAAAACCGCAUGGUUUUACUAUUAAAGAAUUUCGGUUAUCGAUGGGGAUGCGUUCCAUUAGUUUGUUGGCGGGGUAACGGCCCACCAAGACUACGAUGGAUAGGGGUUCUGAGAGGAAGGUCCCCCACAUUGGAACUGAGACACGGUCCAA
rnacentral:rRNA from 1 species